CGAGCGAUCGAUGGGAGCUUGCUCCCUGAGAUUAGCGGCGGACGGGUGAGUAACACGUGGGCAACCUGCCUAUAAGACUGGGAUAACUUCGGGAAACCGGAGCUAAUACCGGAUACGUUCUUUUCUCGCAUGAGAGAAGAUGGAAAGACGGUUUACGCUGUCACUUAUAGAUGGGCCCGCGGCGCAUUAGCUAGUUGGUGAGGUAAUGGCUCACCAAGGCGACGAUGCGUAGCCGACCUGAGAGGGUGAUCGGCCACACUGGGACUGAGACACGGCCCAGACUCCUACGGGAGGCAGCAGUAGGGAAUCUUCCGCAAUGGACGAAAGUCUGACGGAGCAACGCCGCGUGAACGAAGAAGGCCUUCGGGUCGUAAAGUUCUGUUGUUAGGGAAGAACAAGUACCAGAGUAACUGCUGGUACCUUGACGGUACCUAACCAGAAAGCCACGGCUAACUACGUGCCAGCAGCCGCGGUAAUACGUAGGUGGCAAGCGUUGUCCGGAAUUAUUGGGCGUAAAGCGCGCGCAGGUGGUUCCUUAAGUCUGAUGUGAAAGCCCACGGCUCAACCGUGGAGGGUCAUUGGAAACUGGGGAACUUGAGUGCAGAAGAGGAAAGUGGAAUUCCAAGUGUAGCGGUGAAAUGCGUAGAGA
rnacentral:rRNA from 1 species